UGUGUGGAUGGAGAAGUUUCAACAGCUGGGAAGGGAUGUCAUCAUAGUCCUGUAUUCACAGACGAACACCUGCCUUACUUCUGGCACCAGCACGAGAGGCUAAUGGAAGACUGGUCUUUGGAUGAAAGAAAACACAAGGCAUCUGAUUUUCUGCUUGGUUGGAUACAAGAAGAAAACAGCACUGAGCCUGAAAGCAAAUAUGCCUGGUACAAUGGAUGAGUGCGGGUGAGACGGGAUAGCUGACCUCUGCACAGCCAUUGGCCUAUAAGAACUUUCAUCUCGGAGACAUGAGAAGAGGGAGAAGACGGCGGCCCAGAUCAAGAUGGUUAAUCUUCCCUCUGACCGUGAGACUGCUGACAAAGGAACAAGAGUCUACAGCUAGCUGCUCUGUGAGACUGUACUCACCAGCACAAUGCUUUGAGAAUGGAGCCUAUCCCCUGGCAGCGUUGCAUGAACACUUCAAGACACAUCAUCCAAACCAUAGUGUUAAACGUGGGUGUGAGAAGUGCCAAGAAAAGUUCCUGAAUCAAGGAGCUCAGAGCAAGAAUGUUGCACACUGACACUGGAUGCACAUAUGUUGAUUUGUUUUAUGUGUAAGGUGCACUACAAAAGGUCUGCAGUGCUGUGUCAGCAUUUGAGGUUUCACCAUGGUUCAUAUCUGGAAAUGUGGACAACUGGAAUGUUCUUUAUCAUUUUGCACUUAUUUGGGUUUCAAGAAAGAAACACCUUCUUUCCACAGGGACAGUGUUUUAUGUUAUUGACAGUGUGGACACUGAAAGAAGGUGAGGGGGUCUCAUAGACUCUCCAAUACCCACCCAGGAUCAUCAUGUUUUAACAUAUGCCAGCAUAUGUGCUUAUUCACACGUAUCUUUACUGUCUUGUCUUUUACAUGACAAUGAAGGUUUGUGGAGGUUUUUCAUGAACCAAUUAUUGAUGAUGAUGAUGAUAAACAAAAGGAGCGUCCCAUGUGAUUCUGCCUUUGGACUGUGUGUGUCAGGCUUGCUCGGGGGCACCUGCCUCUCUCACCUCCCUCUCUUUGUUUCUCGGUUCCUGAUCACACCACCUUGCACACCUGCCACUUGUUUCCUUAAUCAACGCCAGCUGCUCUCAGGCCAACAACCAGUGCAUAUACAUACAUAUAUAUGUUUAUUCCCGUUUUGUUCCUCCUCUCUACCUUCUCCAGGGACAGUUACCUCUGGACCAUUACUCCUCACCACUCUCCCAGUCUCCACCAGCCAGGUCGGUACACAGUCGACUCCAUCUGCUCACCACACGUCUUUACUCUGUCUCCUCAGCCGUUUCCACCUCCACUGACUAGCCCAGGAGUGACCUUAGCAUCCACAGCUAGGCCAACUUCACCUAUGCCUUCCCUGGACAGUUAUUGCUAGCUGAUCAGCACCCGGUUCCUCUUUCCCAUUAUUUCUGUUUAGCCUGUUUCUCACCUCACCUGUAGAUAGUCUGUAUAGCACCAAUAAAUUUUGCUUGCACUGAAGUCAGCCAUCUGGGUCCAUUCUCUUGUUUUUCGUUCAC